rnacentral:rRNA from 1 species
GACGAACGCUGGCGGCGUGCUUAACACAUGCAAGUCGAACGGAAAGGCCCUGCUUUUGUGGGGUGCUCGAGUGGCGAACGGGUGAGUAACACGUGAGUAACCUGCCCUUGACUUUGGGAUAACUUCAGGAAACUGGGGCUAAUACCGGAUAGGAGCUCCUGCUGCAUGGUGGGGGUUGGAAAGUUUCGGCGGUUGGGGAUGGACUCGCGGCUUAUCAGCUUGUUGGUGGGGUAGUGGCUUACCAAGGCUUUGACGGGUAGCCGGCCUGAGAGGGUGACCGGCAACAUUGGGACUGAGAUACGGCACAGACUCAUACGGGAGGCAGAAGUGGGGAAUAUUGCACAAUGGGCGGAAGCCUGAUGCAGCAACGCCGCGUGCGGGAUGACGGCCUUCGGGUUGUAAACCGCUUUCGCCUGUGACGAAGCGUGAGUGACGGUAAUGGGUAAAGAAGCACCGGCUAACUACGUG